GAUGAACGCUAGCUACAGGCUUAACACAUGCAAGUCGAGGGGUAACGAGAGGAAAGCUUGCUUUCCUUGUCGACGACCGGCGCACGGGUGAGUAACGCGUAUCCAACCUGCCCCCAACUAGGGAAUAACCUUGCGAAAGUAAGACUAAUACCCUAUACUUUCCUCAGAUGUCAUCUGACGAGGAGUAAAGAUUUAUCGGUUGUGGAUGGGGAUGCGUCUGAUUAGCUUGUUGGCGGGGUAACGGCCCACCAAGGCAACGAUCAGUAGGGGUUCUGAGAGGAAGGUCCCCCACAUUGGAACUGAGACACGGUCCAAACUCCUACGGGAGGCAGCAGUGAGGAAUAUUGGUCAAUGGGCGGAAGCCUGAACCAGCCAAGUAGCGUGCAGGAUGACGGCCCUAUGGGUUGUAAACUGCUUUUAUACAGGAAUAAAGUUAGCCACGUGUGGUUAUUUGUAGGUACUGUAUGAGUAAGGACCGGCUAAUUCCGUGCCAGCAGCCGCGGUAA
rnacentral:rRNA from 1 species